UGUAGACACAGAGAAUCCAUGGUUGCAUCACUGUCCCUGGAGGCUUCAUUCUCAACUCCAACUUGGCAGAUUGAGAAGAAGUAUUCAACUGCUGCCCUUACCGGAAACUGGGUGGAAGAGAGGAGGAAGUUCACCAGAGAUACCGAGAAGGUCCCCCAGAGCACUCACAGAAAGGAUUACGUCCAGUUCCCGGGGCACAAGCCAGACCAGAUCUCCAGGUGGUAUGGGAAGAGAAGAGUUGAGGGCCUCCCGUACAAACACCUGAUCACCCACCACCAGGAGCCCUCGCAACGCUAUCUGAUCAGCACCUAUGACGACCACUACAACCGGCAUAAUUAUAACCCGGGCUUGCCGGCACUCCGUACCUGGAGUAGACAGAAGUUGCUGUGGCUGCCAGAGAAGUCCGACUUUCCCCUUCUUGCUCCCCCUACAAACUAUGGACUCUAUGAGCAGCUGAAGCAGAGGUGGCUUGCAUCCAAGUCUGGCCUGAGAGAAAGCAUUUAUACUUCAUCCUAUCCCAGACCAUCAGAGUGUGCAAUGUCCAGGCGGGAGUACGCCAUCCCGGUCCCCCCGCCUCGCCUGCACCCUGUCCCACACUUCUGAAAACUACAACCCUACCAGCAGUUCAGCCAGAAUCACCUGGAAAUUUAUAGUAUCACUGGAUCUGCCUGACAACCAGCAGUUGCAGAAGAACUCAGAGUAUCAAGCCUGGCCCACCAGUGGGGCCCUGAGAAUCAUGGGUUGGGUUUUAUGGUACUGUUACCUCCAAACCCAAGGGUUCCUUUUUUUCCCAUCCAUGAAUUAAAGCUUUUUGAUGCCUCCUCAGGACCAUGCACAUGCAGAAGACAGGCUCGCAUUGUCGAAGAAAACCAGAAGUCUGACAUCCUCAUUUCACAGGAGGGGAAACUGAGGCUAGGUGAUAACGGACUCCCUAGUGUUCUCACAGAUAAGUAUGUGCCCUUGAUAAGUGUCUGGUACAAUGGGAGAACCCAUCAUAAAGACUCCAGGGAAUAGUGAAAGAGCUUUUGAGAGGUGGUAAUGAAGCAGGGGAACAGCUCAUCCAGAGUUAUCUAGGCUAGAGAGACAUGCAUUGGCUUUGAAGAAGGGAGAACACAGGGCAUCACCUCUGCACCUCGGAGCUCUGCAGCACUUUCAGGGGUCUGAGGAAAGAAGAGACUGCUGGUAGUUUGGGAGUGAAGUUGGUGCUCCUCAUGAGUUCAGGUGAACAACUCAGGGUGAACCUGUCCACCUUCAGCCAGGAUAGAAUUCCCCCUGACAUGGUGGCCCGUCUUGGGUUGAGAAUGGUGUGUCUGUAAUCUGGCCUCUUGUACUUUUAGCAUUUAACAGUUAUAACUCAGUCUUUCCUUAAAGAACCUCUCACCAUCGUAUGCCUCCUCCCCAUUUCCUUGCAUCCACUACAGCGAGUGCAGUGCCUGGUAUAAAGUUGGCACUUGCCGUGUGAGGUGACACAUCCCUGUAAUCCCAGCAUUUGGGAGGCUGAGGCAGGAGGAUUGCUGCAAGUUCAAAGCCAGCCUGGGCUACAAAGUGAGUUCAAGGCCAGCCUGAACUGCAUAGUAAAACCUGUCUCAAAGAGACAAAAAAAAUAGUGCUUAACAGUCAGUAGCUGUGUGUGUGGAUGACCUCAAAUCUCUUUUAGGGAUCCCCUCUGGACCACUGCCCUAUAUCCUGAGUCUCUGUCUCGAUAUUACCCAUAAACCUCCACUCCAAGUGGGCCUCUAAGCCCAGGCCCUGGCCAGUUUUGGUCCCAAAAGUCUUUGUUUUUCUGGGAGUUCAGCACCCUGGACUUCAGACUCAGAAGAAAAUGCCUUUUGUGGCUUUCUUCUGUGACUUUCAGGGAGGAAAUUAUCUCUCUGCUUCUUCUUCCUUAGCACCAGGAUGUACCCAUCCUAACAGGCUCAGUGUGCCCUUGCUUCUGCCAGAUCAUCUGCUGUGUCUGCCACCAAAACCAUACAAAUGACCAGCAGACAUCUUUAUGCUUUGAUGAAAAAUUAACACUAUUGGGUUGAGUGAGCACUGACCUCCAGGCCUAGAGGUGUUGAUUAUCCUGUUGAAUCACUACAGGUAGGAUACAAGACUGGGAUUAUUAGGAUCAUUCUGUCUCACAGAGGACAAAAAGGGCCAGUAGGGAUGGGCUGAUUGGCCUGAGGUAUUACGACUGUUGAGCCCAGGAGUGGGACUUGAAUCCAGGCACUGUGGCCAUAAGCGUGCCUGCUUAGCUCUUGUACCUUGUACCACCCACAGAAAUGCCAGCAGGAACGUUGGCAGUUCUGUGUGCUUGGCUCCUGGGCACUUGGAUGUUUUGGCAAUGAUUUUUGUCCUGGCGACAAAUAAGAUGGUUCAGUUGAAUCCAGGAUUUGUGUCAUUCUUCAAAUUGAACACCUGCUGUCCUCAGGCCUCUUACUCCAGAGUUACUCUGGCACCUCCUCCAGCUCCUUCUCUUUUUUUCAGUUUAUUUUAAUUGGUGCAUGUUUGCUGAACAUGAAGUUUGCAUUCAUCCUUGGGAGUAGGUACGUUACAUGACACAUCGUGAUUCCUUUAGUAGCUCUUUCCCUCCCCAUUCACCUGUCUCCUUCCAUUUCUUCAUCACCUGCUCCCAUUGCACCCUAUUCCUUGCUCCUCCAAGUGUCUGUCUGAGUAUUCUGUUUUCCCUCCUGGCUGGAAACACCUCAGGCACAUGUUGCUGUGUGAAAGGAAUUUUUCAACACUGCUAUAAUCUCAGUAACCUCCUUCCUAUGACUUACAUCCGGGAGGCCAUCAAGAAGACUUGGGAUCUGCAGAUUGGGGGUAAUAUUAAAUUUGAACUUGAGACCUAAGGGCUCUAUGUCCUUCUACUUCCUACUAAGCUCGAACUGAGUCACUGACUGGGCAAAGUACAAGAGUCCAGGAGCAGCUAGGCCAAAAAGAAAACUGUGGUAACCACAGGGACUGGAGAGGAAGGGGCACCUUUUCUUUCCCCUAAGCCCUGACUUUGCUAAGGUUCGUGAUGAGUCAAGGAUGUCUCUGUUGCUGCAGCACAUGCCCCAAAUCUUGACUGCAGUAGCAAGAGAGACACUGGAGAAACACAAACCAUACCCAAGGAAGCCUUGCUUUGCACAGAUGGGCUCUCCUUUCCCACAGGGCCCUGCCAUCAUCCCACGGGUGUGUCUUUCCUGGAAGAGUGAGGCAGGGAUUUGUGAUGAGCCCAAGCUCACCCUAAGGAGAGAGAGAGAGCACCAGGUGCACAGGCCACAGAAAGUGGCCCAUCUUUUCCCCAUUCCAGAGUCUAGAAGUUGUGACCACCAGACCCCACCCAGUCCUCUACCCUAUACAUCCCCGAAGAACAAACGCCAUUCUCCCAGGUUCACACGGCUGGAAAGCCCCAGAAUCUCUUGAAUUCUGUUCACACAGAAAGAAAAUCUAUGCUUGGUCAAAUAAAAGGAGGUAGAAGGGAAACUAUUAUUAAGCAAGAGGAAGUGAAUAAGAGGUAGGAGCUGGGGUGUAAAGGUGGACAAUGGGAAGUAUGGAUAUCAGCAAAAUAUAUUUACACAUCGGGUCCCUCACAAAUAAUGUGAAUCUGGGAGACAGGAAAAAGGCAGACCCGGGGCAAGUGGAUUGAUCACAGUCUGUCAUGUAUAUGUAUGAAUUUGCCAAAGUGAAACUCACUCAUCUCUAUAGCAAUAAAAAUGAAAGGAGCGAAAGAAAGAGAAAAAAAUAAAUGUCUUGGAACUGUAUGUAUAUUCAUAUUUACAUCUAUAUAUCUGUAUGUCUUAUAUUAAUAAAG